UACGUAGGGGGGCAAGCGUUUGUCCGGAUUUAUUGGGCGUAAAGAGCGUGUAGGCGGUUAGGUAGGUCCGUUGUGAAAACUCGAGGCUCAACCUCGAGACGCCGGUGGAAACCGUAAGGCUAGAGUCCGGAAGAGGAGAAUGGAAUUCCCGGUGUAGCGGUGAAAUGCGCAGAUAUCGGGAAGAACACCCGUGGCGAAGGCGGUUCUCUGGGACGGUACUGACGCUGAGACGCGAAAGCGUGGGGAGCGAACAGGAUUAAGAAACC
rnacentral:rRNA from 1 species